CCAGUGCAAGUGUGGAGUGGAGGCUUGUGCUGUGGAUGGAGAGCAGUGGGUGGCUGGGCCAUGGUGAAACUCAUGAAACACACUCAGACUCUGAAUGCCGACCACCUCUGCUUCCGCCUGGUUCCCUGCCCGCAGCCCUGCUGUCUUGAGGAGGAAUGAACACAAACAGACCAGGAGCUGGGGGAUGGACCGUGUCCCUUCUAGCCAAGAUUUUGGAAAAUGCAGAGUGGAAUGCUCUUUUUUCUUUUGAAGCAGAAAAGCUGUUGGGUGGCUCACAGAAUCACCAGGAAGAGGAACACGCAGACCUUCCAAAGGCACAGGAACAAAAGGAAGAACCCCAGGCAAAAUCACUCCCCAGAACUACUGCUGAGGCCCUGCUGGCUCCUGGGUGUUGCCCAAAGAGAGAAAGAAUAUUCUGCCUUCUUUCCUGGGACUGGAAUUCUCCUCCACUUGGGACUACCCAGAUCUUGUUCCCAGAUGCCUCUUGGAAUACUUAGUGGAGAAAUGCUGGCUCACUGGUCCUCAGACCUGGAAGAAUCCUGGAGCUUCAGAACCACAGGUUGUUGCCAGGAGAUUUUCUGUAGGUCACUGCUUUGAUCAUAGCCCUCUCUGGAUCCAAGCCCUUGCUGGCUCCCUGGU
rnacentral:lncRNA from 9 species